AUGAACGCUGGCGGCGUGCCUAAUACAUGCAAGUCGAGCGAACAGACGAGGAGCUUGCUCCUCUGACGUUAGCGGCGGACGGGUGAGUAACACGUGGAUAACCUACCUAUAAGACUGGGAUAACUUCGGGAAACCGGAGCUAAUACCGGAUAAUAUAUUGCACCGCAUGGUUCAAUAGUGAAAGACGGUUUUGCUGGCACUUAUAGAUGGAUCCGCGCCGCAUUAGCUAGUUGGUAAGGUAACGGCUUACCAAGGCAACGAUGCGUAGCCGACCUGAGAGGGUGAUCGGCCACACUGGAACUGAGACACGGUCCAGACUCCUACGGGAGGCAGCAGUAGGGAAUCUUCCGCAAUGGGCGAAAGCCUGACGGAGCAACGCCGCGUGAGUGAUGAAGGUCUUCGGAUCGUAAAACUCUGUUAUUAGGGAAGAACAAAUGUGUAAGUAACUAUGCACGUCUUGACGGUACCUAAUCAGAAAGCCACGGCUAACUACGUG
rnacentral:rRNA from 1 species